GAUGAACGCUGGCGGCGUGCCUAAUACAUGCAAGUCGAGCGAACAGACGAGGAGCUUGCUCCUCUGACGUUAGCGGCGGACGGGUGAGUAACACGUGGAUAACCUACCUAUAAGACUGGGAUAACUUCGGGAAACCGGAGCUAAUACCGGAUAACAUGUUGAACCGCAUGGUUCAACAGUGAAAGACGGUUUUGCUGUCACUUAUAGAUGGAUCCGCGUCGCAUUAGCUAGUUGGUAAGGUAACGGCUUACCAAGGCAACGAUGCGUAGCCGACCUGAGAGGGUGAUCGGCCACACUGGAACUGAGACACGGUCCAGACUCCUACGGGAGGCAGCAGUAGGGAAUCUUCCGCAAUGGGCGAAAGCCUGACGGAGCAACGCCGCGUGAGUGAAGAAGGUCUUCGGAUCGUAAAACUCUGUUAUUAGGGAAGAACAAAUGUGUAAGUAACUAUGCACGUCUUGACGGUACCUAAUCAGAAAGCCACGGCUAACUACGUGC
rnacentral:rRNA from 1 species